CUCUAUUUAUAGACAUAGGGUUGGCUUACAUGUCCCAAGGCUGAUUGAAUUCCUAUUUCUAAGUGGACUAGGAAAUUACACUAUACAAAUCCAAAUAGACUUCUAGAAAUCUAAACCUAAAUUGAAUAAGGAAACUGAAAUUCUUUCCUAAUCCUUCUAGGACAAGAAUCGGUAUACCUCUAGGUUUCCUAAAACAAUCCUAAACCAACUAGGACAUAUUUGACGAGCCAAAAUCCUAACACCAUGCACGCUCAUGGCUCUUUCAUCUCAGGAGGCCAUGACUGACGACGGAAUAACAAAAAAUACCAAAGAAAGAUCAAAUUCCAAAAAAAACCCAAAUCGAAAUGAACCCUAGAAAUUGAAAUUCAGAAUUGAAAAUUCAAAUUGGGGGAGCUCUGAUAUUUUACCUAAAUAGCAACUUAGGAGUUGCCACUGCACCACUAAUUCACAACUAAGUCGUAGCCAUAUCCAUUCCUCAACAAUCUUUGAAUUUUAAUUAAAAUAGAAAAAAUAUUAGAAAAUGGUUAAAGAUAAGUUGUAUAACGCAGGCAAAUCCAUUCCUCAGCAAUCUUUCAAUUUUAAUUAAAAAAAAAAUUGUUAAUGAUAGGUUACACACCUGACCCAGAAAGCGUUUGCAAACUCCCAAAACAAACCCCUAAAAUUAGAAGAUAAACGUUUCCUGCAACAAAAAAUGAAAUCAAACAAAAGAUCCACACACAAAUCAGCAAAAAAUAAAGAAAGCAUUUAGCAAGAAUCGAAUUUUACAACAAUCAAUUAAAAAAAUCUCUCCAUAUGAAAUGUUCCAUUUGUCCUAAUAAUAUUAGGUUAUAUAUAUGUGUGUGUGUGUGUAGCAAUAAGAUUACACAAUACAGCAGUUUUGUGUAGAUCCAAAUACAUGUAGGUGUUUCUUUCAUUCAUCUUUUCAGACUUUUCAUUAAUGGCAAUUUUCAUUAAUUGUUUGAGCUCUACUGUACCGUUCUUUGAUCGUUAUCGUUAUAUCAAUUGCUUUCUGGUGUUCAUGUCAGACAACUCCUAUGAUAUCCGAU
rnacentral:lncRNA from 1 species